AUUGAACGCUGGCGGCAGGCCUAACACAUGCAAGUCGAACGGCAGCGGGGGAUAGCUUGCUAUCCUGCCGGCGAGCGGCGGACGGGUGAGUAAUGCAUGGGGAGCUGCCCAGUCGAGGGGGAUAACAACUGGAAACGGUUGCUAAUACCGCAUACGCCCUAAGGGGGAAAGGUGGGGAACUUCGAUCCUACCGCGAUUGGAUGCGCCCAUGUGGGAUUAGCUAGUUGGUGAGGUAACGGCUCACCAAGGCGACGAUCUCUAGCUGGUCUGAGAGGAUGACCAGCCACACUGGAACUGAGACACGGUCCAGACUCCUACGGGAGGCAGCAGUGGGGAAUAUUGCACAAUGGGGGAAACCCUGAUGCAGCCAUGCCGCGUGUGUGAAGAAGGCCUUCGGGUUGUAAAGCACUUUCAGUCAGGAGGAAGGGGUGAUGGCUAAUAUCCAUCAUCAUUGACGUUACUGACAGAAGAAGCACCGGCUAACUCCGUGCCAGCCGCCGCGGUAA
rnacentral:rRNA from 1 species